rnacentral:lncRNA from 1 species
CUUGGCAGUGAGAGCAGAGAGAACAAAGCUAAAGGUGCUGAAGUAAGGUGACAGCGCUUUAAAGAAGAAGAAAAAAAAAAAGGAAAAAGAAAGAUAGCUACCAAGAAAAAAAGUGACCUGGUCUACAAAGAUGAAGAAACUGUCGAUUAGGGUGGAAUAAACUUAUCAUGCAAGAAGUUGGCAUAGAUACUCGUCUCACCUUAAAGGUGCUUUAAAAAUAAAGUGGGGUCAGGCAAGGCAGAUAGGUGGCAUAGCAGUUAAGCUCAAGCAGAGAUAAUGAACAGAAAUACCAGAGGAAUUAGGAUUAAAAGCAAUAAAGUCUUGAAUAUUGGCGAGAAAAGAUGAAGAAGAGAGGGUAUAAGGAGGAGUUCUCACUCCAAACAACAGUGGCAUGCGAAACCCAAGAGAUCAGACCUUGAAAGCUAUGCACUAAUAGGUUAUUUAGUUUUCAAAAUCUUAAAUUAAUAACAAUUGGCAAUAAAGCUCAUUAAAAUUCCUUUUGUUCAGGAUCCAUUGUGUCGAUCUUCAAGCCCUGUUCUUCUAAAAUGAUUGAAGCUGAGAUCUCCACCUAGUGGAUAUAUAGGAUUUUGCAGAUCUUUAUGGGAACAGCCAACUAUCCCUGGAAAUCCUUAAUUUUUUUCUCUUAGAGAAAUAACAAGUUUUAAAGACUUCUACUUAAAUCUGGGAUGAUUGUCAACAGGACAAUUGCAAAUGUAUGAAACAUACCAAUAUGCAUAUCAGUUACACUACAGUUAACAAAGCUGAAUUUUUAUUUUCAUACUAUAAUUAGGAAAACAGAUCAAACACAAAUAUGAAUAUAUAAUUAUCCAUGUAGAAAGCAAUAUUGUAAUACCACUAAUUGAGAUAUGUAUAAUAAUUUACAUGAAAUAAACAUCAAAUGUAAAUCUGCUCAAAU